rnacentral:rRNA from 1 species
AGGGAGGCAGCAGUGGGGAAUAUUGCACAAUGGGGGAGACCCUGAUGCAGCGACGCCGCGUGAGUGAAGAAGUUAUUCGUAAUGUAAAGCUCUAUCAGCAGGGAAGAAAAUGACGGUACCUGACUAAGAAGCCCCGGCUAACUACGUGCCAGCAGCCGCGGUAAUACGUAGGGGGCAAGCGUUAUCCGGAUUUACUGGGUGUAAAGGGAGCGUAGACGGCUGUGCAAGUCUGAUGUGAAAGGCAGGGGCUCAACUCCUGGACUGCAUUGGAAACUGUAUGGCUCGAGUGCCGGAGGGGUAAGCGGAAUUCCUAGUGUAGCGGUGAAAUGCGUAGAUAUUAGGAGGAACACCAGUGGCGAAGGCGGCUUACUGGACGGUAACUGACGUUGAGGCUCGAAAGCGUGGGGAGCAAACAGGAUUAGAUACCCUGGUA